UACGUAGGUGGCAAGCGUUGUCCGGAAUUAUUGGGCGUAAAGCGCGCGCAGGCGGUUUCUUAAGUCUGAUGUGAAAGCCCCCGGCUCAACCGGGGAGGGUCAUUGGAAACUGGGAAACUUGAGUGCAGAAGAGGAAAGUGGAAUUCCAAGUGUAGCGGUGAAAUGCGUAGAGAUUUGGAGGAACACCAGUGGCGAAGGCGACUUUCUGGUCUGUAACUGACGCUGAUGCGCGACAGCAUGGGGAGCAAACAGG
rnacentral:rRNA from 1 species